UGAGGAAUAUUGGACAAUGGGCGCAAGCCUGAUCCAGCCAUGCCGCGUGCAGGAUGACGGUCCUAUGGAUUGUAAACUGCUUUUGUACAGGAAGAAACAGUUCUACGUGUAGAACCUUGACGGUACUGUAAGAAUAAGGAUCGGCUAACUCCGUGCCAGCAGCCGCGGUAAUACGGAGGAUCCAAGCGUUAUCCGGAAUCAUUGGGUUUAAAGGGUCCGUAGGCGGUUAGAUAAGUCAGUGGUGAAAGCCCAUCGCUCAACGGUGGAACGGCCAUUGAUACUGUCUGACUUGAAUUAUUAGGAAGUAACUAGAAUAUGUAGUGUAGCGGUGAAAUGCUUAGAGAUUACAUGGAAUACCAAUUGCGAAGGCAGGUUACUACUAAUGGAUUGACGCUGAGGCGCGAAAGCGUGGGGAGCAAACAGGAUUAGAUACCCUCGUAGUCCCUGAGCGGGCUGGCAAGGCGCAU
rnacentral:rRNA from 1 species